AAUGAACGCUGGCGGCGUGCCUAACGCAUGCAAGUCGAGCGAGAAAGCUCCUUCGGGAGUGAGUAAAGCGGCGGACGGGUGAGUAACGCGUGAGAAUUUACCCUUUAGUGAGGAAUACCCCUGAGAAAUCAGGGUUAAUACUGCAUACGUCCCUACGGGGAGAAAGGUGGCCUCUUUGCUGCCGCUAAAGGAUAAGCUUGCGGGCUAUUAGCUAGUUGGUGAGGUAAAGGCUCACCAAGGCAAUGAUGGCUAGCCGGCCUGAGAGGGUGUACGGCCACACUGGAACUGAAACACGGACCAGACUCCUACGGGAGGCUG
rnacentral:rRNA from 1 species